rfam:'Osedax' symbiont bacterium Rs2_46_30_T18 BD02T18_scaffold_15975, whole genome shotgun sequence.
UUUCGUUCUCGGGGCGGGGCGCAAUUCCCCACCGGCGGUAAGGAAAUUUAUUUCUAAGCCCGCGAGCGCCUAAUUUUUUUAGGGUCAGCAGAUCUGGUGUGACUCCAGAGCCGACGGUUACAGUCCGGAUGAUAGAGAGCGUGC